rnacentral:lncRNA from 1 species
AUGAUUUUCUUUUUUCUUCAUUUUUUUUUAACAGGAAUACCACCACAGAGGCCACAGGUCUGCCCCAUCGCACCGAUUCCUGGAACAAACAUGUAUCCCACUGGGCCCAACGGGCAGCCGUACCCUACUCAGGGUUACCCUGGGUCCGUUCCUUACCCACCUGGUGGUUACCCCGGCAACCUGCCGGGAGGGUAUCCUGGUGACGGUGGGCACCCCCCCCACGGAUAUCACCCUCAAGGGCAACCCCCAUGUGGACCCAUGCCACCUGGGCAGCCGGGAAUGAUGCCCGGAGGCCCCGGUUAUCUACCUCAGCAGCCUGGUUGCUGCUCUGGAAAAAAGCAGAAACACUGUAAAAAAAGCUCUGGCCAUCACUGUCACAAGCAACGUCGAGAUUCAAGCAGUUCAGAUUCGGACUGAGGAACGGAUGGACAGUGCAACCUGGAAAGAAACUCUUUGGGAGUGAUCAAAACAUAAGAAAAUCAAAGCUCAAGAAUUGUAAUUAGCCCUGCUUCCCUUUCCCCUACCCCUAGCCUUUAGUCUGCACUGGCCUUUUCUAUUUCUGCAAAAUUAUUUCUUUUUUAUGAAGGAAAGGGCAAUGAUUGUCGUGAUAGUUGAAUUUUAAUAGCAUACACCUGAAAAACAGUACAGAUUAAUUUGAUCAUAGUACAUGGACUAAUUAUUAGUAUACUGCCACAUUGUGCUUGUACCCCAGAACGGCUGGAUGCUCGGGAAAUGAUUAAAACGUUUCAUGUUAUAUCUCGAUGGACUCAUAGCUCGGCGAGAGACUUGCCUGGUUCAUUAAAUUCGUCCCGAGUUUCCUCUUCAGGGAUGCAAAAGGCUAUUCCUAGAUCUGCCGUGGUUCCCGGAUUAUCCCUGUGCCAGCGGCUUCCAUUCUAAGCCUCGGUCUCUUUGUUUGGAACAUGAAGAAAAUGAUUGACCUACUCUUAAAGCUUGUAGAAAAGAAAAUUAAAACUAGGAUGAAGCUCUUGUCCAAACCUUAAAAAUAUCUUCUUUUUUUUCCAGAAGGUGCAGGUCUAAUUGGUCUGUCCCAACAGCAACUAUUUUAAUUCAAGUUUUAGCCCUUGAAAAAGAAGUUCCUAUGCUCCCUUUUCAUUACAGCAUCUCCCAGGGGCCUCUUCUAUCUAGAAUUAACAUAUCCUGGGCAGAAAUGCUGCCUCAAAGGAACUUUUCUUAAGACUUGUGUUCUGAAUUCUCCUCCUUACAAGUGUCACAGAGUCAUUAGAGGUCCCAAUAAGGAAACCCAGAGAAAAAACUCAUAAAGCCACAAAAAUAUCAGUUGACAAUAGCGUAGGCAUCUUCCAUGAAUAUGCUUAAAAUGUGAUAAACCACACUAUAAUCUGGGAAGGGAAAAAAAAGUUUAUUUAUCAAAUAGCACACUUAUUUCAAGGAAAAACAAUACCAAGAUUAUCCAAAAUUACAAUUUGUUACGAUAGCCUCACACCCACGGAGGCGCUUAGAAUUUACAUGGCUCUGAACACAACCAGCGGGAUCUGCAAAACUUGGUACGCCCUAGAUCUUGGAGUGAGGAAGUAUCAGAAGUGUUAAGCAGAUGGAUUCUCAUGAGAAAAGAGUGGUGUUAGCCAAGGGAAGCAAAGAAAAAGCAAACAAUGCAGGGAGUGGGAUACUGAGGGAGAACAGAGCCAGGCUCUGGUGGAGGAUGCAGGAUAUUUCUACAGGGAGAGGCUUCGAGGUGUUUUCCCAGGUUCGUGGGUUAGUAUCCAGAUGGGUCAAUAGCAAGAUUUGGUUGUUUUUUAAAUAUAGGAAUCUACUCCUGACUGGUAGGGAAAGAAUAACUCUGACAGGAGGCUAUGGGAAAAGAGUGAGUUUCCUCAGGGUAUCUGAAACAACAGACAACUAAAUUAUCUUUUUGGGGAGAGGAUGAAGAAGAGAAAAGAAGGAAUUUGCUUUUGGAGCUCCUGGCAAUGCUUAGUCAGCAUUUUGGGGGUUUCGCUCCCUUUUACCUUUGAACCAAGCAUGAGGUUAGCAAAUGCCCACCAACCCCGUUGUUUGGAACCGGGGAAUCCCUAAACUAGGUAGGGGUGGUCACUCUAGGCUCCAUCAGAAAUGAGAAAGGGGAAACAUCUGGGGAGAAAACUGGAUACUGGACAUUUUCACUAAACUGGGAUGCUGAGUUUCUCCUCUCAGCUUGGCAUUCAGCUGAAUGUGUGUGCAUAUCCAUACUCAUUCACACAUCCUCCCACACAUGCACUCACACGGAAAGGAACUGUUGAUUUUUAAGGCAGUAAAGGUUACAUGUAUGGCUCUGAAUCCUUUUCUGUUCUUGUCUUCUAUUAGCACCGUAAAAAAAGGAGUUCAGGACUGGUCGUUAUUGUUCACUGUGGAACAAUUAAAAUCCACAUAUAAUCUGUUCUAGGGGUCUCUAGUAAAAUCCUGCUUCUUAGCCUCAAUCCCAGGCCAAUCCUUGGAGUUUAACCAUUGUACAAGAUCAGAAAAAAAAAAAGCAAUAUCUUUCAGGUGUAUGUGAAUAUCUGUGUUCUGUGGCUAGGGGUUAGGGUUGGGACCUGUGCAU